CAGUCGCCGCGGUAAUACGUAGGGUGCAAGCGUUAAUCGGAAUUACUGGGCGUAAAGCGUGCGUAGGCGGUGUUGUAAGACUGAUGUGAAAUCCCCGGGCUCAACCUGGGAACUGCAUUGGUGACUGCAACGCUGGAGUGCGGCAGAGGGGGAUGGAAUUCCGCGUGUAGCAGUGAAAUGCGUAGAGAUCGGGAGGAACAUCAGUGGCGAAGGCGGCCAUCUGGGACAACACUGACGCUGAGGCACGAAAGCGUGGGGAGCAAACAGGAUUAGAUACCCGAGUAGUCCCUGUCUCUUAUAC
rnacentral:rRNA from 1 species